rnacentral:rRNA from 1 species
CGUAUCACUUAAAGCGAUUCAGCGGGUUACGAUUGACGGAGCGAAGCGACGUCAAAGCGUAUACAAAGUCGAGUCGGUUUAAGGAUACGUUCGUUGGGUAGGGGAGCGUUCUGUAAGCCUGUGAAGGUGGCCUGUGAGGGUUGCUGGAGGUAUCAGAAGUGCGAAUGCUGACAUAAGUAACGAUAAAGCGGGUGAAAAGCCCGCUCGCCGGAAGACCAAGGGUUCCUGUCCAACGUUAAUCGGGGCAGGGUGAGUCGACCCCUAAGGCGAGGCCGAAAGGCGUAGUCGAUGGGAAACGGGUUAAUAUUCCCGUACUUGGUGUUACUGCGAAGGGGGGACGGAGAAGGCUAUGUUGGCCGGGCGACGGUUGUCCCGGUUUAAGCGUGUAGGUGUGUGUUCCAGGUAAAUCCGGUUCACUUUAACACUGAGGCGUGAUGACGAGGCACUACGGUGCUGAAGCAACAAAUGCCCUGCUUCCAGGAAAAGCCUCUAAGCAUCAGGUAACACGAAAUCGUACCCCAAACCGACACAGGUGGUCAGGUAGAGAAUACCAAGGCGCUUGAGAGAACUCGGGUGAAGGAACUAGGCAAAAUGGUGCCGUAACUUCGGGAGAAGGCACGCUGACACGUAGGUGAAGUGAUUUACUCAUGGAGCUGAAGUCAGUCGAAGAUACCAGCUGGCUGCAACUGUUUAUUAAAAACACAGCACUGUGCAAACACGAAAGUGGACGUAUACGGUGUGACGCCUGCCCGGUGCCGGAAGGUUAAUUGAUGGGGUCAGCGCAAGCGAAGCUCCUGAUCGAAGCCCCGGUAAACGGCGGCCGUAACUAUAACGGUCCUAAGGUAGCGAAAUUCCUUGUCGGGUAAGUUCCGACCUGCACGAAUGGCGUAAUGAUGGCCAGGCUGUCUCCACCCGAGACUCAGUGAAAUUGAACUCGCUGUGAAGAUGCAGUGUACCCGCGGCAAGACGGAAAGACCCCGUGAACCUUUACUAUAGCUUGACACUGAACAUUGAGCCUUGAUGUGUAGGAUAGGUGGGAGGCUUUGAAGUGUGGACGCCAGUCUGCAUGGAGCCGACCUUGAAAUACCACCCUUUAAUGUUUGAUGUUCUAACGUGGACCCGUGAUCCGGGUUGCGGACAGUGUCUGGUGGGUAGUUUGACUGGGGCGGUCUCCUCCUAAAGAGUAACGGAGGAGCACGAAGGUUGGCUAAUCCUGGUCGGACAUCAGGAGGUUAGUGCAAUGGCAUAAGCCAGCUUGACUGCGAGCGUGACGGCGCGAGCAGGUGCGAAAGCAGGUCAUAGUGAUCCGGUGGUUCUGAAUGGAAGGGCCAUCGCUCAACGGAUAAAAGGUACUCCGGGGAUAACAGGCUGAUACCGCCCAAGAGUUCAUAUCGACGGCGGUGUUUGGCACCUCGAUGUCGGCUCAUCACAUCCUGGGGCUGAAGUAGGUCCCAAGGGUAUGGCUGUUCGCCAUUUAAAGUGGUACGCGAGCUGGGUUUAGAACGUCGUGAGACAGUUCGGUCCCUAUCUGCCGUGGGCGCUGGAGAACUGAGGGGGGCUGCUCCUAGUACGAGAGGACCGGAGUGGACGCAUCACUGGUGUUCGGGUUGUCAUGCCAAUGGCACUGCCCGGUAGCUAAAUGCGGAAGAGAUAAGUGCUGAAAGCAUCUAAGCACGAAACUUGCCCCGAGAUGAGUUCUCCCUGAGACUUAGAGUCUCCUGAAGGAACGUUGAAGACGACGACGUUGAUAGGCCGGGUGUGUAAGCGCAGCGAUGCGUUGAGCUAACCGGUACUAAUGAACCGUGAGGCUUAACCUUACA